rnacentral:rRNA from 1 species
AGAGUUUGAUCCUGGCUCAGGAUGAACGCUAGCUACAGGCUUAACACAUGCAAGUCGAGGGGCAGCAUGGUCUUAGCUUGCUAAGGCCGAUGGCGACCGGCGCACGGGUGAGUAACGCGUAUCCAACCUGCCUUACACUCUUGGACAGCCUUCUGAAAGGGAGAUUAAUACAAGAUGUUAUCAUGAGUAAGCAUUUUCGCAUGAUUAAAGGUUUACCGGUGUAAGAUGGGGAUGCGUUCCAUUAGAUAGUAGGCGGGGUAACGGCCCACCUAGUCUUCGAUGGAUAGGGGUUCUGAGAGGAAGGUCCCCCACAUUGGAACUGAGACACGGUCCAAACUCCUACGGGAGGCAGCAGUGAGGAAUAUUGGUCAAUGGACGAGAGUCUGAACCAGCCAAGUAGCGUGAAGGAUGAAGGUUCUAUGGAUUGUAAACUUCUUUUAUACGGGAAUAAACGAAUCCACGCGUGGAUUUUUGCAUGUACCGUAUGAAUAAGGAUCGGCUAACUCCGUGCCAGCAGCCGCGGUAAUACGGAGGAUCCGAGCGUUAUCCGGAUUUAUUGGGUUUAAAGGGAGCGUAGAUGGGUUGUUAAGUCAGUUGUGAAAGUUUGCGGCUCAACCGUAAAAUUGCAAUUGAUACUGGCAGUCUUGAGUACAGUUGAGGUAGGCGGAAUUCGUGGUGUAGCGGUGAAAUGCUUAGAUAUCACGAAGAACUCCGAUUGCGAAGGCAGCUUACUAACCUGUAACUGACAUUGAUGCUCGAAAGUGUGGGUAUCAAACAGGAUUAGAUACCCUGGUAGUCCACACGGUAAACGAUGAAUACUCGCUGUAGGCGAUAUACAGUCUGCGGCCAAGCGAAAGCAUUAAGUAUUCCACCUGGGGAGUACGCCGGCAACGGUGAAACUCAAAGGAAUUGACGGGGGCCCGCACAAGCGGAGGAACAUGUGGUUUAAUUCGAUGAUACGCGAGGAACCUUACCCGGGCUUAAAUUGCAACCGAAUAUGGCGGAAACGCUAUAGCUAGCAAUAGCGGUUGUGAAGGUGCUGCAUGGUUGUCGUCAGCUCGUGCCGUGAGGUGUCGGCUUAAGUGCCAUAACGAGCGCAACCCUUGCCGAUAGUUACUAACAGGUCAUGCUGAGGACUCUGUCGGGACUGCCAUCGUAAGAUGUGAGGAAGGUGGGGAUGACGUCAAAUCAGCACGGCCCUUACGUCCGGGGCUACACACGUGUUACAAUGGGGGGUACAGAGGGCUGCUACCACGCAAGUGGAUGCCAAUCCCAAAAACCUCUCUCAGUUCGGAUUGAAGUCUGCAACCCGACUUCAUGAAGCUGGAUUCGCUAGUAAUCGCGCAUCAGCCACGGCGCGGUGAAUACGUUCCCGGGCCUUGUACACACCGCCCGUCAAGCCAUGGGAGCCGGGGGUACCUGAAGUGCGUAACCGCAAGGAGCGCCCUAGGGUAAAACUGGUGACUGGGGCUAAGUCGUAACAAGGUAGCCGUACCGGAAGGUGCGGCUG